GAUGAAGAACGUAGCGAAAUGCGAUAAGUAAUGUGAAUUGCAGAAUUCAGUGAAUCAUCGAAUCUUUGAACGCACAUUGCGCCCGCCAGUAUUCUGGCGGGCAUGCCUGUUCGAGCGUCAUUACAACCCUCAGGCCCCCGGGCCUGGCGUUGGGGAUCGGCGGAGCCCCCCGUGGGCACACGCCGUCCCCCAAAUGCAGUGGCGGUCCCGCCGCAGCUUCCAUCGCGUAGUAGAUAACACCUCGCGACUGGAGAGCGGCGCGGCCACGCCGUAAAACACCCAACUCUUCUGAAGUUGACCUCGAAUCAGGUAGGAAUACCCGCUGAACUUAAGCAUAUCAAUAAGCGGAGGA
rnacentral:misc_RNA from 1 species